UUUGUGUCAUCUCUCCUCCGUCGUCCUCACUUAUCCUUAUCACCCUCACCACUCCCGCUCAUAACAAUGAUCGACUCCCUCCACCUUAGUCCUCACCAAUCCUUACGCACUCACUCUUCUAUUUCUCUCUCAUCUUCAUCUAUCUACGCUUACGGAUUGCAAAACAAGGAACAAGCAAAGCUAUGAGUUUUCUUUCAAACAGAGUUUGGAGUAUAUACGUCGGAUUUCUGCUAUGGUGCGAACGGUUAUUGAUUGUUUCAACUCCAUUUUUUAGGAAGUAGGGUUGAGCAGAACAAGGUUGGUACCGUGAGAACCAUGGAACCAAACACUGAGUACCGCAUAGACACAACAGCAAAAAAAAACUUGCCCUUGAGAAUUUCCUUUCGGACGACAUGAAAAACGGAAUGAGAAUAAAAAGUGAAAGCAUGUUGUUCAAUGGGCAGAUGCUUUUGCCAUUGUAAACGAUACGAUGGAAGAAGAUUUGAAUUCAGCAACUCUCUUGCGAUAACGCUGGCUGUCAAUUUGUGCCUCAUAACAUAGCAUAAAUUGAACCAGUGUAUUGGCGCUGGUUGAGUUAACUUUAAAAGCUGCAUUUGAACUUUCAAAUCGUGAAGUCGUCUUCAUCAAACAACACAUGGGGAUGUCCCUAAAGUACGCAGGAACCCAAUGUUCCCAGAUUUCGUACAUCUCGUUGAGCCAUUGGGUGUCUUGUAAUGAAUUUUUGUCGAGCAAUGCUGCCCAUCGGGCUUCAAAGGUAGAAGGCUUUAUGUAAACAUUCCAAACCAGCCGGUGAAUGCAAGCCCUUACAUCGAUGUUUUGCAACAGGUCACUAACGUGAGCGAGGGUGUAUUGAUUUUUAUUAUAAUUUUUAAGUACUUUUUACUCUUUUAUCAAGCUUUAAAUUUA
rnacentral:lncRNA from 1 species